AUUAGGGACAGAACAUGGAGAGAGCUUCUGUGGAAGGAUUCCCAUUUAGACACAAUUCAGGAUACCAUGUUCAGGUUUGUGAAACACACAUGGAUAGCUGGUGUCAAGCAUCCAAACAAAACAGGAGAACCAAGUCAACAACAUUAUCCUACUAUGAGUGAUUAUCCCCUAGGUGCUUCUUGUCCUUGGACUUCAGUUGUACUUCAUCUAGGCCCAAAGACAAUCCCACUUUUGGAAAAGUUUACUAUUACAUGAUGUCUCUACUCAGAAUUUCUGAUCACAUUGUGGUAAUGGUACGCAUGUGUGCUUGUGUGCUUGUGGGGAGGGGGUGUGGGUGUGUAUGUGUUUGUUCAAGCUCUCCAAAUCCCAGUGUGUACAUGUGUCACAUUUUAGCUCUUCCUCUCUAAACUUUAGAAAUAGUCAAAAAUUAGAACAUACAACUGGAAAUAAAAACGGAUUUAAUCAUGUCAGCAUAUUUGUCUCAUGAGAAUUCAAUUAAACUAAAGUAAAAAAUGAAACAAUCAUUAUCCUGAACACUUAGAUUCUACUGGGGGAUAAGGAAGACAACAUGGACACAGAUAAGUAAUUAUAAAGUAAUUUCACAAGGAAGAGAACACAAACAACUAAGGGAUUAAGUAAAAGUUUGUGGUGGAGGCUAGGUGGUACCAUGUAUAUAGCACUGGUCCUAGAAUAAGGAAGUUCAAACCAGCUUCAGACAUUUAUUAGCUGUGUGAUCCUGGAUGAGUCACUUCAAAAACUUCAAGAAAUUGUGUAGAAGGAAUAUUCAGACUACUUCUAAGAAGCAGAGGGAGAAGUAAAUGCAUUCUAGGCAUGGCAGAAAACUUGAUAAUGAUAAUGUGGAGAUACUAGAUGGGAUGUCAUACAGUAGGAUCAGCUAGGUCAUUUAGAUGAGAACUAAUAGGAAAGGAAGAGGAGUAAGAUACAUAAGAUCAGAAAGGGGAAUGGGGGUCAGAUUAUAAAGGGCUUUAAAUGGCAAGCUAAGACUUUUUAUUUUUUCUUUGAAAUUAUGACAAUAUUAUAAGGGUCUUCUCUCUGUCCCCUAUAUACAUAAGUUGUCCCUUGUCUUGACCCUUAGCCUUUGCAGUGGCCAUUCCCCAUGACUGGAAUAUACUAUCUUCCUCACCUCUGGCCCAUAGAAUCCCUCCUUUCCUUUAAGAUACAACUUGAGGACUAUCUUCUGUAUGAAGCCUUUCCUGAUUUUUCUUUGUAUGUAUCUUUAUUUAUUAAAUGUAUAUUUAUGCUGUAUUUAUAUAAACAUAUAUAACAUAUAUAAAUACACAUAAAACACGUAUGUGUGCAAAUAAUAUACAUGAAUGUAACAUGUAUAUAAUGCCUACUAUAUGUCAGGCACUAUUCUAUUAUAAAUAGUAUCUCAUUUAAUUCUCACUACAUCCCUGUGAAUUUACAAUAGGAAAAGCUGAGGAAAAAUAGAAGCAUCUUGCCCAGGGUUACACAAUAAGGGUCUGAGACCAAAUUUGAAUGUUGGAUCUCCUGUUUCCAGAUCAAGCACUCUAUGGAAUGCACCACCUUACUGCCCAAAUAUAUAUACACAAAUGCAUCUCCCAUAUUAGAAUGUAAAUUUAGUGUGAAUAAGCAUUAUUUCAUUCACUGUAUUUCUAUUCCAGUACUUUGCAAGUGUUAGUGAUCUU
ensembl:lncRNA